ACUCCUACGGGAGGCAGCAGUGGGGAAUUUUGCGCAAUGGGGGCAACCCUGUUGCAGCGACGCCGCGUGAGUGAAGAAGGUCUUCGGAUCGUAAAACUCUGUCCUUGGUGAAGAAUAAAAUGACGGUAGCCAAGGAGGAAGCCCCGGCUAACUACGUGCCAGCAGCCGCGGUAAU
rnacentral:rRNA from 1 species